rnacentral:rRNA from 1 species
CUUUAAAAUCACGACCACCUUACAACCUUACACAGCCCCACUGGGUCCACCCACACAUAAACCCCUGGUCGACAUUUUUCGGUUGGGGCGACCUUGGAGAAAAAAAAAUCCUCCAAACCCACAGACCACAACUCUUCACUAAGACCAACUCCUCAAAGUACCAAC